AGAGUUUGAUCCUGGCUCAGGAUGAACGCUAGCUACAGGCUUAACACAUGCAAGUCGAGGGGCAGCAUUGAGAUAGCUUGCUAUUUCAGAUGGCGACCGGCGCACGGGUGAGUAACGCGUAUCCAACCUGGCCCGUAGUAGGGAACAGCCCGGCGAAAGUCGGAUUAAUGCCCUAUGUUCUCCGACGAAGACAUCUGAGUUGGAGCAAAGAUUCAUCGCUACGGGAUGGGGAUGCGUCUGAUUAGGUAGUAGGCGGGGUAACGGCCCACCUAGCCGACGAUCAGUAGGGGUUCUGAGAGGAAGGUCCCCCACAUUGGUACUGAGCCAGGAUCAAACUC
rnacentral:rRNA from 1 species